CCCUUAGAUGUUCUGGGCCGCACGCGUGCUACACUGAGUAAUUCAAUGGGUAAGGGAACGCUAGAGCAUUACCUAAUCUUGAAAUUUGCUCGUGAUGGGGAUCGACGGUUGCAAUUUUCCGUCGUGAACGAGAAAUACCUUGUAGGCGCAUGUCAUCAUCAUGCGCCGAAUACGUCCCUGCCCUUUGUACACACCGCCCGUCGCUCCUACCGAUUGAGUGAUCCGGUGAGGCUCUGGGACCUGGACGGAAAGAGCGUUUCGCUUGUUCUGUUUGGGAAACUUGGUCGAACCUUAUCAUUUAGAGGAAGGGGAAGUCGUAACA
rnacentral:rRNA from 1 species